rnacentral:rRNA from 1 species
GGUCGGUACAAAGGGUACGGCCAACCCCGACCGAGGGGGGGAGCCAAUCCCAGAAAACCGAUCGUAGUCCGGAUUGCAGUCUGCAACUCGACUGCAUGAAGUCGGAAUCGCUAGUAAUCGCGGAUCAGCAUGUCGCGGUGAAUACGUUCCCGGGCCUU